CUGAGGCUGUGGCUCCCUGGAUGUGGCUGUCCUGACAGCUGCCCAAGGCAAGCCAGACACCUUCACUCAGAGGUACAGAGAGACUUUUUGCAGCGCGUGGAUUUAAGGGCAGAGCAUCAACCCCAAGUUGGCGGGCCUGAUUGGGCGGCACGGGCCCCAGAACAAGCAGCCCUUCAUGGUGGCUUUCUUCAAGGCCACGGAGGUCCACUUCCGCAGCAUCCGGUCCACGGGGAGCAAACAGCGCAGCCAGAACCGCUCCAAGACGCCCAAGAACCAGGAAGCCCUGCGGAUGGCCAACGUGGCAGCCCUCAUCUCCAUGUAAGUCAUGUGCACUCACUUAUCUAUGACCCGCCUCUCGUUCUGGAAAAGCCCCUGAGUGGCAGGGCUUUGCUGUCUUACACCUGGGACUCAUCUCAUGCCUGCACACCAGGAAGCAGCCCCUAGCAAUGGCUGAAUGAAUGAGUGACUCCACAAGGCAUGCAGGCCGCGAGGGCAGGGCACCCAGGGGCAAGCGCUCCUGCCCCAAAGCCUGGAGCCCACCAGCCCCGCCCCAGCCUUCAGCAAGUUCACUUCACCGAAAGUCUCAAGUGUCUCCUCAGGAAUCACACAUGUGAUUCGGUUAUAAUCAAUUAAAUGUAAUUUCGUUA
rnacentral:lncRNA from 1 species